GGUUAAGCGACUAAGCGUACACGGUGGAUGCCCUGGCAGUCAGAGGCGAUGAAGGGCGUGCUAAUCUGCGAUAAGCGCCGGUAAGGUGAUAUGAACCGUUAUAACCGGCGAUACCCGAAUGGGGAAACCCAGUGUGAUUCGUCACACUAUCAUUAACUGAAUCCAUAGGUUAAUGAGGCGAACCGGGGGAACUGAAACAUCUAAGUACCCCGAGGAAAAGAAAUCAACCGAGAUUCCCCCAGUAGCGGCGAGCGAACGGGGAGGAGCCCAGAGCCUGAAUCAGCAUGUGUGUUAGUGGAAGCGUCUGGAAAGGCGCGCGAUACAGGGUGACAGCCCCGUACACAAAAGCGCAUGUGCUGUGAGCUCGAUGAGUAGGGCGGGACACGUGGUAUCCUGUCUGAAUAUGGGGGGACCAUCCUCCAAGGCUAAAUACUCCUGACUGACCGAUAGUGAACCAGUACCGUGAGGGAAAGGCGAAAAGAACCCCGGCGAGGGGAGUGAAAAAGAACCUGAAACCGUGUACGUACAAGCAGUGGGAGCCCCACCACUAAGCCAGUGGUGAACUCCACAUACGCAUCCUUUGCUGAGGAUACGGUUAACGGAGCGAAAGCGACGUUCAACCGCAAAAGAAGCAGAGGGGGCUUAGUGGUGGGGUGACUGCGUACCUUUUGUAUAAUGGGUCAGCGACUUAUAUUCUGUAGCAAGGUUAACCGAAUAGGGGAGCCGGAGGGAAACCGAGUCUUAAUUGGGCGUUAAGUUGCAGGGUAUAGACCCGAAACCCGGUGAUCUAGCCAUGGGCAGGUUGAAGGUUGGGUAACACUAACUGGAGGACCGAACCGACUAAUGUUGAAAAAUUAGCGGAUGACCUGUGGCUGGGGGUGAAAGGCCAAUCAAACCGGGAGAUAGCUGGUUCUCCCCGAAAGCUAUUUAGGUAGCGCCUCGUGAAUUCAUCUCCGGGGGUAGAGCACUGUUUCGGCUAGGGGGCCAUCCCGGCUUACCAACCCGAUGCAAACUGCGAAUACCGGAGAAUGUUAUCACGGGAGACACACGGCGGGUGCUAACGUCCGUCGUGAAGAGGGAAACAACCCAGACCGCCAGCUAAGGUCCCAAAGUCAUGGUUAAGUGGGAAACGAUGUGGGAAGGCCCAGACAGCCAGGAUGUUGGCUUAGAAGCAGCCAUCAUUUAAAGAAAGCGUAAUAGCUCACUGGUCGAGUCGGCCUGCGCGGAAGAUGUAACGGGGCUAAACCAUGCACCGAAGCUGCGGCAGCGACACUCAGGUGUUGUUGGGUAGGGGAGCGUUCUGUAAGCCUGUGAAGGUGUGUCGUGAGGCAUGCUGGAGGUAUCAGAAGUGCGAAUGCUGACAUAAGUAACGAUAAAGCGGGUGAAAAGCCCGCUCGCCGGAAGACCAAGGGUUCCUGUCCAACGUUAAUCGGGGCAGGGUGAGUCGACCCCUAAGGCGAGGCCGAAAGGCGUAGUCGAUGGGAAACGGGUUAAUAUUCCCGUACUUGGUGUUACUGCGAAGGGGGGACGGAGAAGGCUAUGUUGGCCGGGCGACGGUUGUCCCGGUUUAAGCGUGUAGGUGUGUGUUCCAGGUAAAUCCGGUUCACUUUAACACUGAGGCGUGAUGACGAGGCACUACGGUGCUGAAGCAACAAAUGCCCUGCUUCCAGGAAAAGCCUCUAAGCAUCAGGUAACAUCAAAUCGUACCCCAAACCGACACAGGUGGUCAGGUAGAGAAUACCAAGGCGCUUGAGAGAACUCGGGUGAAGGAACUAGGCAAAAUGGUGCCGUAACUUCGGGAGAAGGCACGCUGACACGUAGGUGAAGUGAUUUACUCAUGGAGCUGAAGUCAGUCGAAGAUACCAGCUGGCUGCAACUGUUUAUUAAAAACACAGCACUGUGCAAACACGAAAGUGGACGUAUACGGUGUGACGCCUGCCCGGUGCCGGAAGGUUAAUUGAUGGGGUCAGCGCAAGCGAAGCUCCUGAUCGAAGCCCCGGUAAACGGCGGCCGUAACUAUAACGGUCCUAAGGUAGCGAAAUUCCUUGUCGGGUAAGUUCCGACCUGCACGAAUGGCGUAAUGAUGGCCAGGCUGUCUCCACCCGAGACUCAGUGAAAUUGAACUCGCUGUGAAGAUGCAGUGUACCCGCGGCAAGACGGAAAGACCCCGUGAACCUUUACUAUAGCUUGACACUGAACAUUGAGCCUUGAUGUGUAGGAUAGGUGGGAGGCUUUGAAGUGUGGACGCCAGUCUGCAUGGAGCCGACCUUGAAAUACCACCCUUUAAUGUUUGAUGUUCUAACGUGGACCCGUGAUCCGGGUUGCGGACAGUGUCUGGUGGGUAGUUUGACUGGGGCGGUCUCCUCCUAAAGAGUAACGGAGGAGCACGAAGGUUGGCUAAUCCUGGUCGGACAUCAGGAGGUUAGUGCAAUGGCAUAAGCCAGCUUGACUGCGAGCGUGACGGCGCGAGCAGGUGCGAAAGCAGGUCAUAGUGAUCCGGUGGUUCUGAAUGGAAGGGCCAUCGCUCAACGGAUAAAAGGUACUCCGGGGAUAACAGGCUGAUACCGCCCAAGAGUUCAUAUCGACGGCGGUGUUUGGCACCUCGAUGUCGGCUCAUCACAUCCUGGGGCUGAAGUAGGUCCCAAGGGUAUGGCUGUUCGCCAUUUAAAGUGGUACGCGAGCUGGGUUUAGAACGUCGUGAGACAGUUCGGUCCCUAUCUGCCGUGGGCGCUGGAGAACUGAGGGGGGCUGCUCCUAGUACGAGAGGACCGGAGUGGACGCAUCACUGGUGUUCGGGUUGUCAUGCCAAUGGCACUGCCCGGUAGCUAAAUGCGGAAGAGAUAAGUGCUGAAAGCAUCUAAGCACGAAACUUGCCCCGAGAUGAGUUCUCCCUGAGACUUAGAGUCUCCUGAAGGAACGUUGAAGACGACGACGUUGAUAGGCCGGGUGUGUAAGCGCAGCGAUGCGUUGAGCUAACCGGUACUAAUGAACCGUGAGGCUUAACCUU
rnacentral:rRNA from 2 species